rnacentral:lncRNA from 1 species
CCGUUUGGCUUUCUUUGGUUUUAAACCAACUCCUCUUUAGCAUUCAUUUUUACGCUACUUUUCUUUUCAGGUCGCAUUGUACUAUAGAGCCAGAUUGUCAACUGCGAUAAACUAGCAUAACUACACUGAAGGCAAGGAAACUUCCGGUUUACACUAGCUGAGGAUCUCGCUGAUAGUUUUACCCUCUUCAGUCACGAAAAGAUCACUGCUGUUCAGAGUUGGCUGAGAAGAGGGGCAGGCUCAAGACCACUUCCUUUGCUUGAGGAACGCAGCUACCGCACUAGCACAGGACUGGCCUGGGGAACACAGCAGAAAACAAUUUUCAGGAUCUCCCUUGGCAACUGGGUUGACUGGACUUCCACUAGGUGAGAAGAAUCAUAGAGACAAAGUUAGAUUCAGAGGCAUACUGCUUCUGAG